UUAAAAGUUCAAACUGCUGAAAAGACUCCCUCAUGGAAAAUCUAACUGACAGAGCUCUAAUUAACCGGCUUAAAUAUUCACAUGUAAGUGAUAUCACAUGAUAUAAGCCUUUGUCUGACUUGACUUCACUAAGGCAAUCUCUAGCCAGGUUCUCACAGUUGAGGACAGAGCCCUCCAAGAGUGACAACCGCUCUGCUGCUCUCAGGGAAGGUCAGCAUGUAGGAGAGAGACGCAUCAGCAUGUAACGGAGAGAGACGCAUCAGCAUGUAAUGGACAGAGACGCAUCAGCAUGUAGGAGAGAGACGCAUCAGCAUGUAAUGGACAGAGACGCAUCAGCAUGUAAUGGAGAGAGACGCAUCAGCAUGUAAUGGACAGAGACGCAUCAGCAUGUAAUGGACAGAGACGCAUCAGCGGCGGGCCACCUGUGCUGGCCGUGGGCGUGGGAGGGGGUGGCCACCACCUCCGUCCGUCCACAGUAGGUGGCCCCGGCACUUGUCUCUCUCUUCCAUCUCCCCAGGCAGGUGAUGGGCCACCCUCAGGACUGACAGUCACCAAGAGCCAUGGUCUUCCUCUGGCCCAACUUUUCAGCCUUAUCAUUUGAGUUAUACGCCAGACUCCUUCUUUGGGUCUUGAGUUCUGAGCUGGCCCUGUACUAAAUGAAUUAUGUUAUUUUGACAAACGUUUUUUUUCUGUUACACUUAGAACUAUUUUAAAAUCAAGAUCAGACCGUGGAAUGUUCUUGGGGAGAAUUUUUCCCCUUCUUUGGCGUAUGUUGUUAUGUCUGGAAGCCACCAAGGGACCGCUAAAAAUGACAGACCCCAAAUUACAAGGUCAUCACAUAUUCUUCCAGCAAACUGUCUUGGAAAAUAUCUCUGUGAUUAAAAAAAAGAAAACAA